CCAUAGUGUAUGGUUUGGAAGCACACAAACUAAGACAACACAGAGAUUAGCAUGGCCCUGUAUAAAGAUAACACGCAAAUUCAUGAAGUUUUCUAUGUUUUA